rnacentral:lncRNA from 1 species
UCAUAUUCACCUUAAUCAAUCUGGCAUUUUGGUUCUGUUGCAUUUUUAUUUACAUUUAUCUAUAAAAUAAGAAUUGCAUAUCAAUAUAUCAUAGUUCUUUGUUGUCCUGAAAUUUUGCCUAACAGUUAUAAUAACACAUAAAGAAUGCACUUAUGUUUUCUCUAGUCUAUGGGAACCUUAUGUUUUUAUCAUGAAUAUAAACUUGUUUGCUCUCAUGAACCAUUGCUUUACCUUUAGUGCACACCACAUAUCUGUGAAAAUAGACUAGUAUGAUUCCUUUUAAGUUCAUCCUAUUGUUACUCCAUACUACCAC